AUUGAACGCUGGCGGCAGGCCUAACACAUGCAAGUCGAGCGGAGCGGCGGACGGGUGAGUAAUGCCUAGGAAUCUGCCUGGGAGUGGGGGAUAACGUCCGGAAACGGGCGCUAAUACAGCAUCCUAUCAGAUGAGCCUAGGUCGGAGUGGCUAGAUUGUGGGGUAAAGGCAUACAAAGGCGGCGAUCCGUAACUGGUCUGAGUGGAUGAUCAGGCACACUGGAACUGAGACACGGUCCAGACUCCUACGGGAGGCAGCAUUGGGGAAUAUUGGACAAGGGGCGACAGCCUGAUCCAGCCAUGCCGCGUGUGUGAAGAAGGUCUUCGGAUUGUAAAGCACUUUAAGUUGGGAGGCGUUACCAACAGAAUAAGCACCGGCUAACUUCGUGCCAGCAGCCGCGGUAAUAC
rnacentral:rRNA from 1 species